GAUGAACGCUGGCGGCGUGCCUAAUACAUGCAAGUCGAGCGAACAGACGAGGAUCUUGCUCCUCUGACGUUAGCGGCGGACGGGUGAGUAACACGUGGAUAACCUACCUAUAAGACUGGGAUAACUUCGGGAAACCGGAGCUAAUACCGGAUAAUAUAUUGAACCGCAUGGUUCAAUAGUGAAAGACGGUUUUGCUGUCACUUAUAGAUGGAUCCGCGCCGUAUUAGCUAGUUGGUAAGGUAACGGCUUACCAAGGCAACGAUGCGUAGCCGACCUGAGAGGAUGAUCGGCCACACUGGGACUGAGACACGGUCCAGACUCCUACGGGAGGCAGCAGUAGGGAAUCUUCCGCAAUGGGGGAAAGCCUGACGGAGCAACGCCGCGUGAGUGAUGAAGGUCUUCGGAUCGUAAAACUCUGUUAUUAGGGAAGAACAAAUGUGUAAGUAAAUAUGCACGUCUUGACGGUACCUGAUCAGAAAGCCACGGCUAACUACGUG
rnacentral:rRNA from 1 species